CUGGGCACAGAGCAGGGUGGAAAUGGGAACAGAAAAGACCUAGAUAAGCAAACAGAAAAUAAUCAAUGGAGCCGCUGUUAUCAAUAUUGAGUUUUAAGCCGCUGGAUCCAAUUCCAACUGAUAUCUCCUAAGUAGCACAGUGGGACAAACACCAGGCUCAAGGUGAGGCCCUCUUUCUUGGAUGCUUUGGACUCCUUUGGACAUCAGCUAUAACACUUCCAAAAUAAAUAUGACAGGAAAGACCUGGCGCCAGCUUCUCCUCACUCCGGCAGAGUGAGGCUUCCCAUCCUACAGCCUCUCGACCCCUGCUCAAAGGUCACAAAAGUAGUUGACAUCGUGCUGCCAUUGUGUUCUUCCAUUGCGGGUCAAGGCUUGCCAUGUGUUCAAAAUCUCUCUCUGGCAUUUUCUGAAGCCCUGUUUGGUUAGAGAACCAUACCUCCAUGAACACAAAGCAUGCCUUUGAGAGACUGAAAACAGCACUAAGGAGGAAGAAGAUACAUGACGUUCAAAGAUGCCGUGCUGGCGGUAAGCUAUCUCUAGGCCUCUCCAUCUCUUGGAGUCUCUGCUUCUCCUAGCUCAUUUCUCAAGUUUCACUGCAGGAAUUUUUCUAGUUUGUCACUUAUAAAUCCUAUAUUUUGUAAAACUAUUGUGAUUUUCAAAUAGCAACGCCUUUUAACAUAGGAAUCAUGCUGCUAAGGCAUCUCAAAUGUCAAAAGGCACCUUGGUAGAGAAGAAAGUGCCUGGGUUCAGAACACAGAUGAACACGGACUGGAAUGCAGACUGCUACCACGUCACUGUAGCAAGCCACAUAACUUCUAUUUGCUUGUUUAAAAAUGUGUUAUUGCUUGUUUUAAAGAGCAAUACAUCUAAAGUACCUACAAAGGAAGGAUCUCAGAACUAUCACCAAGUAUAUGCCUCAAGUACCAUGGAAGCAAAUAACUUUUUACUAUAAAGAUGAUUGGAGUUUAAGACUCAGGGAAGUAAAUGAUUUUGAUAAAAUAAAAGUGCUGUGGGAAAAUCAGUGAGGCACCGGAUUUAAACCUGGAACUAUGGAAAUAAGAAUUUUGAAGUCUAUAGUUUAAGAAGUCUACCGAAUAAGAAAUAGCAUUACAGACACACGUUAACAUGAAGAGUGUGAGAACACAAACACACACACAUACACACACAAAGAAAGAACAACUAGGAGCUAUGGGAAGAAGGGGGAAAAUGCACCACGCCUCAGCAUAGAGAUAUUCUUGUGAUAUAAUUUAGCUUAUUACUAACUAUUCUUGGGAUACAUUUCUAGCCUUCAGUAGGCUGUGUGAAUCUCAGCCAACAAAAUUAGUUGUGUCAGAGAGAAACCAAGCAAAUAAACAAACAAAAAACACAAAACAAACCCCAAACCACUGUGUUCUUUCAAUUAAUUUUGUUUCAGAAUUCUCAUUUUGUUUGGCAGGUGGAAAAUUAACUUUAAUUCCCUAAUUCCCAGCCCUUGCUCAGUUCCUUGCUUUUUCCUAAACCUGGGGUAUGCUCUGGUGUCUCCUAGGUGGCACGGCCACUUCUGUACGAUAUGAUAGAGACAUGCAAAUCUUCAGGGAACUAUGCCCUGAGGUCUUACCAUUUCUGCAUAGCAAUGCCAGUAAGCCAUCUGCCAUGGGACCCCUAGACUCACAAUGCUUCAUAGAUUCAGAGAAUCUCUUUUACAUUCAAUAAAAACCUUUUACCUAUUUUAAGCAUGGAAUCUAAGCCUUAUACUGAAGCCUACAUUUGGAAAAAUAGUGAAUUUUCAUGAAAGAAAUACCUCUGUCUGCAGUAAGUUUCAUAAUUCUUAGAGAGCCUAUGAAAAGUAAGCAUCAUAGCACUUUUCCAGUAUUUAAAAAUUGUUUUAACAAACAUUUAUUGAGAGCCUAAUAUGUUCCAGAUAUUACUUUAGAUGCUUAAAUUCCAACAGUAGAAAUAGAUGAUAA